rnacentral:rRNA from 1 species
UCGAGGGGCAGCAUGACCUAGCAAUAGGUUGAUGGCGACCGGCGCACGGGUGAGUAACACGUAUCCAACCUACCGGUUAUUCCGGGAUAGCCUUUCGAAAGAAAGAUUAAUACCGGAUAGUAUAACGAGAAGGCAUCUUCUUGUUAUUAAAGAAUUUCGAUAACCGAUGGGGAUGCGUUCCAUUAGUUUGUUGGCGGGGUAACGGCCCACCAAGACAUCGAUGGAUAGGGGUUCUGAGAGGAAGGUCCCCCACAUUGGAACUGAGACACGGUCCAAACUCCUACGGGAGGCAGCAGUGAGGAAUAUUGGUCAAUGGACGAGAGUCUGAACCAGCCAAGUAGCGUGAAGGAUGACUGCCCUAUGGGUUGUAAACUUCUUUUAUAUGGGAAUAAAGUGAGCCACGUGUGGCUUUUUGUAUGUACCAUACGAAUAAGGAUCGGCUAACUCCGUGCCAGCAGCCGCGGUAAUACGGAGGAUCCGAGCGUUAUCCGGAUUUAUUGGGUUUAAAGGGAGCGUAGGCGGACUAUUAAGUCAGCUGUGAAAGUUUGCGGCUCAACCGUAAAAUUGCAGUUGAUACUGGUCGUCUUGAGUGCAGUAGAGGUAGGCGGAAUUCGUGGUGUAGCGGUGAAAUGCUUAGAUAUCACGAAGAACUCCGAUUGCGAAGGCAGCUUACUGGACUGUAACUGACGCUGAUGCUCGAAAGUGUGGGUAUCAAACAGGAUUAGAUACCCUGGUAGUCCACACAGUAAACGAUGAAUACUCGCUGUUUGCGAUAUACGGCAAGCGGCCAAGCGAAAGCAUUAAGUAUUCC